AGCUGGUUUCUUCUUUGGUGAUAAUUCCAUCAAGUGUUUAUCACCGGAAGCGAACUCGCUCU
rfam:Caenorhabditis brenneri strain PB2801 C_brenneri-6.0.1_Cont34.27, whole genome shotgun sequence.